rnacentral:rRNA from 1 species
ACGGAAGGCAGCAGUGAGGAAUAUUGGUCAAUGGUCGGAAGACUGAACCAGCCAAGUCGCGUGCAGGAAGACGGUCCUAUGGAUUGUAAACUGCUUUUGUACGGGAAUAAAGUGCGGGACGUGUCCCGUUUGGAAUGUACCGUAAGAAUAAGGGUCGGCUAACUCCGUGCCAGCAGCCGCGGUAAUACGGAGGACCCGAGCGUUAUCCGGAUUUAUUGGGUUUAAAGGGUGCGCAGGCGGAGGAUUAAGUCAGCGGUGAAAUUUUCAUGCUCAACAUGAAAACUGCCAUUGAUACUGGUCCCCUUGAGAGAUGUCGAGGAUGGCGGAAUGUGAUGUGUAGCGGUGAAAUGCAUAGAUAUGGCGAAGAACUCCGAUUGCGUAGGCAGCUGACCAGGCCGUAAAUGACGCUCAUGCACGAAAGUGCGGGGAUCGAACAGGAUUAGAUACCCUGGUA